UACGGAGGGUGCAAGCGUUAAUCGGAAUUACUGGGCGUAAAGCGUGCGUAGGCGGUUCGUUAAGUCUGUUGUGAAAGCCCCGGGCUCAACCUGGGAAUGGCAAUGGAUACUGGCGAGCUAGAGUGUGUCAGAGGAUGGUGGAAUUCCCGGUGUAGCGGUGAAAUGCGUAGAGAUCUGGAGGAACACCGAUGGCGAAGGCAGCCUUCUGGGCCAACACUGACGCUCAUGCACGAAAGCGUGGGGAGCAAACAGG
rnacentral:rRNA from 1 species